rnacentral:rRNA from 1 species
AAAAUUUAUUAUUAAUUUGAUUUAUAUGUAAAUUUUUGUAUGAAUAUACAUUUAUUUUAAAAAUAUUUGUAGUAUAUUUAUUCGCAGUAAUUAAUAUUAUUAAUUAAAGAAAUUUAGAAAUAGCAAUAUUAAAGAGUAUUGACUAAAUUGGUGCCAGCAGUCGCGGUUAUACUAAUAAUACAAAUAAAUUUUUUUAGCAGUAGUUAAAUUGAUUUUUUAAAAUAAAAUUGAAUUUAUUAAGUGAAAUUUUAUAUUCAAAAUAUUUUUAUAAAAAAUAAUUGAAGCUAAAAAAUUUUUGUAAA